rnacentral:snRNA from 1 species
AUACCUUUGCUCGGUCUUUUGUCUAAGAUAAAGUGUAAUAUUUGUUCUUAUCAGUUUAAUAUCUGAUAUAUGGAUCAUAUGUUCACUUUGAUAUUAAAUUUAUUUUUAUGGGUAUCUUUUUGUGGGGAUGGUUCAUCACACUGGUUUACUGGGCUUGUCACAGCGCACGUGCAUUGUAC